ACAUGGAGCUUCUCAAGGUCCCCUCUUCUUCCUCCCCGCAUCUCUCUCUCCGUUGGAUGCGAUUCGGCAGGCGUGGUUCCCUGCCUGAUUUGGUGUCCUCACGCAUGUAGGUGACAGCCAUGUGGUGCGCGCGCGGAUUCUUCCUCAACUUCGGCGCCUUCCGCCCUCCCCCUUUGCUGGCCAGGCCGAUUGAUUCUUCAUGGAGAUGCAGGUCGAGCAGCAGAUGUUUCCGCCUCCGUUCAUGGUCAGAACACUCUUUCCUUUCUUCUUCUCUCUCAUCCAUCUCCUGGAUUCAACCUAUCUAUCUAUCCAUGCUAGUUAAUCAAAGGACUUUCUGGAUUCUGAAUCAGUAACAGGGGUAGCUAGAUGGAUCAUGUAUGAGGAUGGAUCAGAACGGGAUGAUGGUGGUGAAGAUGAUGGUGAAGCAUCAGAGGAUGAUGGUGCCCGGUAUGAUUUAUAGUUUAUACACAUACUGCACUAUUGAUUAAAGGUUGUAACCUCACUGUCACGCCAAUGGACGCAAAAAAGAAGAGUGGUAGUACUAUCAAUGGUUCACUCAGCGCCUCAACAACGUCUGCACUACUUCUAAUAUUGUUUUUCAGUAGCUUUUUGAUGCACCUUUUUCUUUCAGUUCUUAGUGCUGCUGCCCUAACCUAUAGCCACUUGUCCUGUCUUGAGCGUCAUCACGAUGUGUCGGAGUAUCUAUGCUAUACAUCUGUGCUAUGUCUCCCAUGUUUACAUUCAGUUAGCAUUGUUAAGCAGUGUGAAUGGCACUGGUUGCAAAUAUAAAUGCUAAUUACUUCCUAAGAUGUUAAUGUGUAGGAUGAAUGCUAUUAGAGAAUCAGUGCAGCAAUCAAAAGCAAUCUAGUAUUUUUGCUAAGAAAACAGUGCCACCAAGAAGUUCUUAGUGGGACUAUAACUAUUAGUUGUUGGAUUGGUUCGUUUGGAUCCUUGCUUGGGUUAAUAGUUUGUUAUUCGCUGCUCUGUUUGCAAUUUGGGUUUAACUCUGACACAUAAUUUGUUGUGGCACCUGCUUCCUCCUUGUCUUUGUUGUGUGAAGAUGUUCUUUUUAUCAGGGAUAAUUGUGCAGUCGUUCAGGUUGGUUUUCAGCACGGUUCUAUAAAGAAGUUGGCACUUUGGUUAUACAUGUUUUUUUAGAAUCACUUUGGUUAUAUAUGUUGGGGGGUAUUGGUAGGGUAUUUUGUUGCCUAUUCUAAGGCUGUAUAGAUGUUCUUGUCUGUGGGUUAAUUGCUCUCGCUGUUGGCGUUCUACACUGCUUGUGCUAAGAUCUGAAGGUGAUGAACAUGUAUGUUUAUCUCAUGUUCGGAAACAAGGACCGACUUGAAUAUCUGGACUAGACUAGUGGAUGCCAGCAACUCAUCUGAAACUCUUCUUGAAGUUCAAUGUUUUUUUGGAAAUGAUUGCACAAUAUUACCCCCCCCCCCCACCAGGCGUUAUUUGGUAGUAACUUCUUUAGUUACACAUUUGAGAUGCAUUUUUUGUUGUUGUUGAAACGAUGGCAUAAGCUUUGCAUCAUCCAUUAAGUAAGAGAGGAGAAAAGAGUUUGUUACACACAUCUAUUACUACUACGUAAGGUUGUUAUUGUCCUGGCAUGAUAUUACCCAAAUUUUUCACACCCGCAAUAACCAGUGUUUUGCUUCCCUCUUGAUGGAGCCGUUUGAACCUGUAGACACUUUGGUUAUCCAACGUUUUCUGCACCCGUAGCCACUUGAACCGAUGAGAAUUCUUCAAGCCUACCUAUAGCCACUUGAAUAGAUGUCUAUCUCAGAUCUGCUCAUCUAAAAAAAUCCAAGUGGAGUAGUAUACUGGUAGUAUAGUAUAAUAAUAUUGUCAAAAGGUAAAUGCCCUGAUUAGUUAGCUCUGUCAGAUAAAUACUCGUCGAAAGUGGGCUCUUAUCAAAAUUCAUUUCGAUUAUAAUCUUACUCAUACAAUACACACCAUGUAAUUCUGGAAAUAUAUGCUCAUAUCUAGUUGUUCAUAAAAAAUGACAGUAUUGACAUGUUAUAAAUAGUUUUUUUGUAUUUCUGUUUAUUUUGUUACAUUUUGCAGGGAUAAAGUGAAGAAAAAGAAGAAAAGAUUACUAGAAGAUUAGUUUUAGGAUUUUCUUUUAUUUCCUUGCAAUUUUCCUUUUAUUGGAUACUUGUAAAGACAUUGUAAAAUUCUUACUAUAAUAAAAAUAUGAUUCUAUUUCAUUUUUUGUUUUUAAAUUAUUUUCC
rnacentral:lncRNA from 1 species